UUGAAAGAAUUUUCAAAGAAUAUUCAUGGCUCAGUGGGAUGUGCUCUGUUUCUUGAAGGCUGAAAAGCAACUUUUGUUUAUUUAUAUAAAUGGGAACAAGAAAAUGGCACAAAAAGUUUGUUCUAUUUCCUCCAGUGCUUGUUUGAGAACAUUACUUUUUGACUGCCAACCCUAAAAGAGUUAACAUAGUAAGUGUAACUGUGAGAGAGCCACAAGAAAGCUGAUGAUGCGAACAUGAGAAAAGAGAGGCUUGGAGCCGAAGCAAAUAAACCAAGGUGAGGAGGGAACAGGGAGAUAUAAAUAACUUGGGUGCUUAGCCUGGGAGUGACUCUCUUGGUUUGUCCGGCCUUGGUACUGCUGGCAUCGGCUCUCUGGGGAAAGCUGCAGUUCUGCUUUUAAAACACAAGGAGCAGCCUGGAGAAUUUUGAGCUGCGUCACACAGCUCAGAGGGAGAGAGAGUGAGGGAGAGCAAGCUCUGUCGAUAGGACUACUAGCAACAGCCCUGCUGCAGCAAGAGACAGACAGAGAGAAAAAGAGAGAGAUCAUGAAAGAGAAGUAAUAACAACAUUGGGAAGCAUGGCUCCUUUUCCCAUCCAGCAUCUUUUUCAAAAAGGAGUGUUAUUUGGGAGCUUGUUUAGUACUGGCGGAUUUUGUCCACUGACAAUACCGGAAAGAUACAACGCAGUUAAUCCCGCAUGGGGGGGCAGACAUAGGAAGGGUUAAUGGGAGGAAAAUUCUGGAAUAUUCUAUUCUGCGGUGGAGCAAGCAGAGGGUUGAGGACUGCACAGGUGUAGAUGAACAGAUCUCAUGGUUCCUCUUUUUCUAUACGUAUGUAUCCUUUGAUCGGGGUAAGGGGGGAGUUGAGCUGACUGUCUCGUUUUGUGUGCAUAUGUGUGGGGUUUCUUUUUACCCCCUACCCCUCAACCUUUCCACCCAAUGUUGUUGUUCUGUGGCUGGAUAUUAUUGCUGUGUCCUGCGUCAGACCAAUGGAAUGAAGGCACAGGUUGUAAAAUGUCACUGCGUAGUUAUAAUGCAGAUUCGGGGAGGGAGGGAAAAGAAAGCAGGAGUUUGCAGAGGGUGCCAUCUAGGACCCCUUCCCUUUGCCCACCUUAAAAAUCUGGCACAUCAGAUAAUUGGUAGAGGGUUUAAUAAGACCUUCUGGAUUUUUUUAAAUCUGGAAGCCUGCAUAGUUCAGAAAGUGGCAAAUGAUGACGCAGUGAUACUUGCCUGGCACAUAGUUAGGUUUAAAAAGCAUUGCGGGGACAGGUACUCUGUGAAUCCCCAGGCCAACUAAAGGGGUGAGUUGAGAAGGGAAGAUAGCCUUUAGGAAUUAAAUGUCAUCAUUUUGGCGUUGGAAAGUUGUUUACCUUGCUCUCCGUGUCUCCAUGUUGGCAGUCUUCCAGCUCACAUGUGAUAGUCUUCCCUGUACUGCUGCAUCAUUAACUGAGUGCCUGAGCCUGCACAUGAUUGGCUGGGGAGGGUUCUCAUUCUAAACAUACAUUUUCAUUGGAGGAAGAGGCAGUGGCAGGUGAAAAGCUGCCUCAGAUUGGUUGAGGACAGGCUAUCAAAUCUAAAUGUUCCAUUUCUCUUGCUUUAAAAGGGGUUCUGAACAGUUUGUGUCUUAAAAUAUUGGCUGUUUGCUUCCCCCCCCCUCUCCAGCCACCCCUCUUCUUUAAAGCAGGCAUUUUGGAAUGUGUCUUAUAUUCUCAGGGUUAGUCAUUUAAAGAAAAAAGCUGAAAGCAGUAACUUGGCUAUUGUGGAUUAGUUUAGUUUAUUACUGGUGCAAGUGACGCAGAAGGAAAAACAAAUAUUCUGUGACUCGUGUUGCAUCAGUGACAGGCGGGUUUCCGGCUGCUGUGAGACAAGCCAUGAUGACGUGACAUUAUUAUAGGCUUCAGAAGAGACAACAAAAAGAGACUUUGGUGGGUGUCUACCUCUGUGAGUGGAGAAACUAACUAGAAAAGCAAUUACUUGAAUUGUAAACUUCUUGGGACAGAGAGAUUGCAUGUCACAGUAUGUAAAAAUCUGGACAGAACUAAAAGGUAAAAUGUGUCCUAGUUUAUGUCAGUGUAAACUCAAAGUCAGUGCUGGUACUGGAUUGAAUGGAAACAGAAAAUAGUGGUAAGAAUAUGAAGUUACCUUUCUGUCUUUUUGUUUUGAUUUUAAAUGAAGCGAUGGAGAAUUUCUAAGAUGGCUGGAGAAGGAUUUUUGGAAAGUCAAGAAGAAUAAGCCAGAUCAAGCAGGGGGCGGUGGGGCACCUGUCAUACAGGGUGAAAAUCUAAAUGCUUGCUUUAAGUAUUGCAUGAACCAUGUUUUUCAUUCUGGCCCAUCUCAAAGCCUAUGCCGAAGAAUGAUUCUACUAUGGAGGCUGGGUGUCUAUGCUCUCUUCUUUCUGGAACCUACAGUGAAAUCCAGAGUAGCUAGCGUUUUCUCAUAAAAUGCUCCAGUGAAUGGAAAGGUAUAUGUUGGUAUAAGAAUUCAUGUGGGUGACUCACGGGUAUCAAGAGUCAAGUACAGCCAGUUGUUCGGCAGCAGUUUGUUGGCUUUGGAACCCGAUCAGAUACAUUUUGAUUCUCCAUCUUGAUUCCUUUUAGGGUACUUUGUAUUCUCUACUGUUACAAAUUGUGUAUUUACCACAGGCUUUAAGUGCCCCAAAAAAGGUGAAUAGGCAUGAUCUGCUAUUCGUAUUUCCUAGCUCAAAGGGAGAAGGAAUAAUAACCAGGAAGCCAUUUCUGGAGAUAGGCAUGAUGGCUGAAAGGAGGAGGGGAGUUCGACAUAGCAAAUACACCCGUCCCAUAAAAUCGCCUGAUAAACACCUUUGCUUCCCCUUGCUCUUCUCUGUUGUCCGAUAUUAUGGCUAAUUUGAGAUUCUUUCAUUAUAGGUGCAUCACUUUCUCCCACUCCUCCCCCACGGUUAGCCCGUGCUCUGCAGAGCUGUCUCCUCCGGAGGCAGCCUUGUAUCCUGCAGUGUUAGUUCCGCAGAGGAGGGCAAUAGGAGGCACAGCUAUGAUGGCUGCUCCAGUGCAGGGACAGCCUUAUGCUUGGACUGCGAUUGUUUCUGGUAGCAACAAGGAGGAUAUGAUGCAGUGACUGCUCGUUUGUGAGUAUCUGAAUCUAUGGAACCUGGAAGCUAUGAGGAGUGAGAGGCAGGACCCUUUUUCCAGGAUGAUGAGAAAAGCAAGAUUGCCCAGCUUGUGUGCCUGAAAUUUUUAAUACAUAGGCAUCGGAGGCAGGUGAGCUUGUCUGAAGGUGGUUUUGAAGCUUACAGGGUUGGGCUGGAAGUUGGAAGAUCUGGCUCCAGAUAUUGCUCAGGUUUUUGACCUUGGCUGAUUUGUUUCUUUCUGCUUGCCUCUGUUUUCUCUUCCGCAAAGUGGGUGUGAUAAGAUCUUACUCAGUGGAAUGUUGAGAAGUACAGGGAGACCACACAGAAGAAAGUACCAUGAGUCAGUAAUGAUUUCUAUUAUUUUGUUGGUGCUGUCUAAACAAAAGGAGGGACACAAUUUCUAAAUGCGCUUUUUUGCUUCUGGUUGGUUGUGACGCAACUGUCUUGACUAUGUUGUUUCUUUGGGAAGGUGGAAGAUACGAACAAGGGGUUUAGGGGAGGAAGAAGCACAUUUAAAAACUGUGCUUUAAAAUAGGUGUCAAAAGUGCUUGUAAUCAGCAUGUGAAAGUUUUCACCCCAGCUAAAAGAGGAAUAUUGAGGAAGGCAAUGGCACUCUUGGCCAUUUUGGUUCUGACAGAGUCUAUUCCAAGCUUCUAGCACGGCUGUUAAUUUUCAUAGGAGCUUUGCUGAUGCAGGGAAGAGAACGGUCUUCUUGAGACUUUAAUCUCAUUUUUAAUAGGCAUUUUAAAAACCUCCACUUAUAAGACUUGAUUCCCCCCCCCCCCAGUUUUUGAGUGUGCCCGCCCCCCUGCGCACUAAAACAAAAAAGCUAGAGGAAAGUUUCAUUCCAUGGGUUUUUUUUAAACCAGUGCCUGGUAAUCUUUUAUGAGGAUUUGGGUGUGGCCUCUGGCUGCCAUUUUCCUCCCAUUUGUUACUACAAUGGAUUAGGAGAAGAGCUCUUGGGAAUCUGUCAUGGGUGUAUUGAGAGAUGGGAAUGAACAUGGAAUCUUUAAAGUAUCACAUAUCAAGAGCAAGUAUUUCUAGGAGGAAGAUGGCAAUGGAGAAUUGUGUUUCUUUAUGGGGUAGGUUUAAUGACUUUAACAAAGUUUAUCAACAUAAUAAAUCAAGAAAUCUUUACUAAGAUAGCUGCUUUUUUUUUCACAAAACUGCUUGUCAGCCAGGGACUCUGCCACGCAGCUGCUUGGGUGGCCAUUUUGCUGCAUCACCAUCUAUCACUAGCGUAAUCCAGAGCCCCUGAUUAAGUUUACUUGUGGUUCAGAGAAUAAGCCCAGGACCAACAUCUUUAUUUUGCUACUAGCCCUUCCUUCUGCUAUAGGCUGAACCUAAAUAUGAAUUCAGAAGCAUGGGAAUCCUUAAAUUAUGCUCAGAAUCAAAUGCAUGUUUUACAAAAAUCCUGCAGCUGCAUGAGUGUAAAUUAAUAGGGGAAUUGAUGAGACUAACCUCCAUCAUCUACCUGAUAUGCAUCCUGCCGCACCUUAGGCUUUUUUCUGCAGCAUUCCAUGUUUACUUGCCAGAGAGAUGGGAUACGCACCCUCAAAAGACCAGAGGUUCCAUCCCAAGUAUAUUAAAUUGCAGUGUUCUCUUCCAGAUUAUUUACUUAAGUCACAUUACAACCACUAGCUUAAUCUGGAUUGUACAAUACUGAAGCUAAGAUGGUGGGAUAGGACCCCAUGGAGAUAACAGGAAAUUAUUAUUAGGAGGCUCAUAACUUGAACUAACAGAAAUCAAAUAGAGAUACAGCAAAGAAUGCAAGGCUUUCUGGGAUAGUAUUUGAAGCAAACAGCUUUAUUUAUUAAACUGAGUGAUCCAUUUAGAAAAACAUACAAAAAAUCUAGUUAUGGAAUAGAUAAUGUCCCAUUGUCAGAACACUGAAAUUUUGAACAGUUACAACUAGAAACCUUCACCCAUUCACAGAAAACAUGCUUAUGUCGAUCCUGUUUGCAUUUCUCUCUCUGUUCUUGGAAGUUAGGCAACUCUGUUUGCUGGAUGUGCUUUUCUUGGUGUCCGCUUAGUAUUAUAGCACUGCUGAUGGCUUGUGCCAUCCUCUAACUAUCUCUCCUCACCUAUUUCUCAGCUGUGCUUUUGGUCCUGUGUUUAUGUUCCCUUCUGUCAAAGAAGUAGGCAGACUCUUGCAUUGAGAAAACUUUCUUGUCCCCUCCCCCCCCCGAAUUUCUGCUGCUGAAUAUUAUUCAUACUCUUUGCAAACUAAGAGACUGGAUCUCUUGUCUCUAUUGCUGCCCUUUUAUAACUGUUGGUAGCAAGGAUGUCUCUCCAGUCUUUGUAGCUUGAAUGUUAAAAACAGACCCUGCAUAGCAUUAGCUGCUGAAAAUCUCUAAUUGAAAUGCGUCACAGCAUUUCAGCACUUUCGGUGCUUAAAAAUUCCUAUCAAACUAUCAUUGCCCUCUUAUUUGACUCUAUCUUAUUUCAGAUCUACCACUGAAUUGAAUGGAAAGAAAAAUGUCGACCUUGUUGUUGUUACCUUGAAUUGCGCAUAUCACUGGAAGAAUACAAGCUCAAUUCUUGGAGGCUUUUUUGUUCAGGGAGUUGGAUUAGCCACUCCUAAUAAUUAUUCAUAGAUGGAAUUAAAGUCUGUUCUAGUCUCAAGAAAAGGUAAAAUAAUCUGUGUGCUUUAUAGAUGGCCCAAUGGUAUCAUUUAUUACUCUGGCCCAGUUAGGGCAGUUGCAUACAUAUGCAAUUCUUGCCCUGUUCCAGAAUCCAUGGAGUGAUUUUCUUCUCCUUGUUUUAAGGCAUGUUGGAACUCGGGGAGUAAAGUAUCCCUUUAUUCUGUCCUGCAGAUUAUUCAUUUGGCACAGGGAGUGCCUCCCCUAUGAAUGCUGCUGCUUUAGAUCACUGGAUUGGGCCCAAAAUUUCUUAUUAAUCAUUAUGUCACUAUGGAAUAGUUUAUAGGACUUCCACAAAUCCAGGUUUUUUAAUAUAUCUAUUCAUUCAAAGAUAAACAAUUCAGUUUUAUUUAUAAUUUUGAAAACAACAGUGGCCAGGAUCCAAAUAACUAGUUCUGCAUGCCCCAAGAGACUUGGUUCUUAUGUUGUGUUAGCUCUUGAAACUGAAGCAACUUUCAAAAAGUCAUGUUGGCAUGUUAUGGAAUGGUGGCUUGCUACUGAAAGAAGAAGAAAUCUCAUAGGGUAAUGUAUGUCCAAAUCCUUGUUUAUGCAGAGUAGCAUUUUGCAUGUAAACCUGGAUAAUUAGUGUUGGCCUUUGUCUUAGACUUGUUUCCAAUGCUACAUGUAUGCACUUUUAAAUUGUAUUGUAGAUGAUGAUGUAAGAAAGUGCAUCCUGAACGGUUGCAGCAAGAAAAAGUUGAGAGCAUGUAUAAUUUUGUGGUAUCACUGCCUCCUUUUCACUGGAAAUGGCUACUCCCCUUCUACAUGCUGCCUGAGCUGUACAACUCUAGCCCCAUGUCAUGUCAUUUCUUGCUUCUGCUCUAGCCACAACGUAAAGAACAGCUUUCGGUGUGCCUGCCUGCCUGCCUGUUCUUGAAUUGAAGUAGCCACAGUCUUUGUGUCUGGAAGACUAGCGUAAGCUUUUAACGCAGUUAGGAUUUUAGGGUAGCAGUGAGAGGGGGUUCUGAUUUUGGUGGCACAUCGCUUUUCUCCAGUCUUGAGUGUCAGAGCAUCUCCCUCUUGAUACAUAUACAGAGUCUUUGCAGUUGGUAUUUCCAAAUGUUCACCUACAAUUGCUUCAAAAUCUUGAAUCUCAUGGGUUGCACAGGAAUAGUUUUUUCACACUGAAAAACUAAAGCCAGCUUGCACCAACUUGCCAUCUUCCUCUGAGCCCACAUGUGGCCCAGAGGCAUUCAUGGGGAAAGAAGACAGGGUAGCUAGCUGCUUGCUUGUUUGUUUUUUAAUAGAAAGUGUAAGUGCUAGGGCACUUUAGUAGUUGCUAAGAAAGGAUGUAUUGAUGCCCACGGAUAGUAUGCUGCCUGCUCCUGUUUUAAGGGGUUAGAUGUCACAACAUAUUUGCAUUUCUGAGCACUGAUUCUGAAGCUUUAAUCUUUCUUUUGGGUUUUCCUCCAAAUACUAUCAUAGCCUUCACUAGCUCUUGCAAGGAAGGAAAAGCUUUCAUGCUUCUUUUUACUGCUUCAAAAAAGGUGAAGUUGAGCUACCUCAGAGCCUUACCCACACUGAGCACACUAAGUAUCUGUUCUCCACAGUGUAUUAGGCAUUCCCGAUUGUCACCUUAGGCUACCUUAAAUGGUGUAAUGGGAGUAAAGAAGCAAUGGGAGAUGUGCUACUCUUCACACACACAACGCAUGCAUGUGCAUGCACGCACGGGCACACACACCAGUUCUGUUACAAGUAGCUAGCAAAUAUGACCAAACUUUUAUACAAGUCCAAUCCUAUUUCUUACCACAAGAUCUGUGAAAAUAACAUUUCCACUCAUUUCAUCUGAUAAUGACCUCUUAUAUUUCAAGGAAAUUAGACCCUUUGAAGUCAGGGAGAGAGAUUUUCAAGGUGAAUCAGAGAAUCAAUAAUAUAACCAAUAAAGAUAUGUAACGGGACAUAUAAUCCUGGGUUUUAGUGUUCACUUGCAGAUUACAUAGUGUCAUCACAUUAUACACCAUUUCUUCCAUAAAUGAUAAUCUGUUUCCCAGCAAUAUCUCACUUCAUGGAUAGUCCUGUAUCGGAGGCCCAAACAGGCCACAGAGUUUGGAGAAAAAAAUUCUUGACAGCAGAGAUCUCAUCUUUUCUACGGCACCAGCAAAAAUUGGUGUGGUAAUGCACAGGAGUGCAUGUAAAGCUUCUGACUUUCUAAGAUGUGGUCUUAAUUUUUAAUGCUGUUCAGAAUUGGGAGAUAAAUUAAUUCAGCAACAAAAAUAAGAACAAAUGAGCUACCAUAAUGUGUUGUGACUGCAUUAAUUCAUUUACAUUUGUGAGCCCUCUUCUGAUGUCCCAGCGACAGCUGAGCAUGUCAUUGAUAAAAACAACUUUGAUUUUUUAAAAUUUAUAAUAAGUUUAAAAACAACAUAAGUGAAAAUAGCUGUGUUGUAUAUUUAUUUUAGGGCAAUGUCUCAAUUUAGUCCCAUGCCAGAGUUUGAGUCUCAACAUCUAUAAGUCAAGAUGUACUGUUAUCUAUGCAGACGGAGAACUGCAGUUUGAUGUCUUCUGUUAGCUCAGGGUCUAUAGGAGUGAAUGGGACAGUGGGAUGUGUUUGGAAGGGGCUGUAAAAUGCAUGCCCCAGGGAAGAAAAGAAGAGUGCAGAACUGACAUGGCUUAAAUCAGAGGUGUUGAAUGUGUUUCAGCCUCAGGCCAAGUUCCAUUUUGAAGAUUUCAGUGGCUACAGUGGUAGACAGGAUCAAAGGCAGAAGGGUGGUGGGAAAACCAGCAACGUAUUGUGACAUAAGGCCUCUUACUGUCAGUUAUUAAGAGAAACAAGAAGUGGUGAGGAAGAAGAUGAAAACUCCAUAACUACGACAGAAGAUGACUUCAUCCUGGAAUAAUUUGGGAUAUCCCACAGUCUUGUUCUCAUGUAUAUCCACUGACCAUGCUGAGAACUGUUUUAUGCAGUUGUAAACAAGGAUGCAGCAUUACUUACACUUGAACGAAUGCCAAUGCUAUCGGCGUUUUUUCAGGUGACACUGAAAAGCAGUAUUUGUAUUGGUUGCUCUGGAAAAUUGAAAUGUUUUGUGCCCCAACCCCUUUCCUUUCCUUCCCUUGCCUGCCUGCCUCCAGUUAAAUCAUGCUAUUUUAUUAAUAAUUAACUGGGCUUAUUCCCUUCUGUUUUCAAAUUCCAGUACUUCAAGCCCAGAAUUCAUAUGUUUUAUGUAAGAAUGGUUUAUGCAGUUUCAGUGUAGUGUACCAUGUUUUUAGUGCCCUAAAACUGUGGUAACUGGAUAGUUUUUAAAGAUAUGCCUCUUUAAAAAGCAAAGUGAACUAAUGUGUGAUAAAGCUAACUAGCAGCGAAAACUGGCCUUGAAAGAGAUGUGCAGCCUGAAAGAGAAUAGUUAAUGCAAGGAAAAUGGUUGCUAGGUGUAACUGUUAGUAGCUAUUUCUAUAAUAAGCGACAAGUAUCUCUGUGGAAGAGGAGGAGGAGGAGGCAACAGCCGCCGCCAUAGAAGGCUCAUCAACAGAAUAAAGGAAAUAGAUACACAGAAAAGACUCAUACCAAGCUUCCAAAAUUAAAUUCAACUGUUUCGGUUACCUCUUUUCAGUUGUGAGAAGCAGACUUGCUAUCAGUAAUAGAUCUCAUGGAUGUUGGGGACUGAGCAGAGAACUAUGUAAUAUGAGGUUGCUGGGAGGCAAGCUGUGUACAAAUGUGUUUUUAGAAGCAAGUCCCAUUGAGCUUAAUGACAAUUACCCCCUGGUAAGUAUAUAGAGGGUUCCAAUCCUCAUGGCUCUUUUUAACAUAUUUCAAUUGAGUUCUUUGUACCCUGCCAAAGCAGAGAACUGGAACCCAUUGUGGUGUGCUAAAGUCUCAGAGAAUAAAGGGAGUCAAUGUGUGCAACAGCAGUCCCUAUAAUUGGCAAGAAGUGUGGAUCCAUUAGAUUGAACAGGCCUGGUAGGAAUAUUCAAGGCCUUGCCUUGCCGGUUCAGUUGUGCAGUACCUGCUGAGAACAAGGCAUGACUCAAAGUGUAAAGCCUCUGUGUGUAUACAAGUGUUGAAUAUUGUAGCUGUAAAAGUGUGGCUGUUAAACUAAAAGCUUUAGAGGGAUGAUACCUUCCAUUGUGGAGGUCUCUGAUAAUAAGGAAUGUGGAAAUCAGCACAACUUGAGCUUGUUGAGGUUUUCCACAUUGCAAUUCAUUCUGUCUCAUCUUUGAUUCAGAUUGCAAGCUUUAUUCUAUUCUACAUCAGAAUUCAUAUAUAUAUUUCUUGCACAUUUUGCAAAAUAGAUGUAUUGGUUGUAUGCAUUUUAUGUAUACAGAUAUUUCACCCGUCCUUUAAACUGUGUGUGUGAGUAAUUCACAACAGUGUGCAUCUUUUAAUACAUAUUUGUUAAAUGUAUGCAUCUUUGGACACUCUUUUUGGGGUUCUCUGGGAGAUGCAUUCCUGCUAUGCUGAAUGGGGAUCUUUUUUUACAUCUUCCCUCUGUUUCCCUUGGUAAUGCAAGCAUUAGCAAAGGUUCAGCAGGAUGGCACAAACUACAUCAAAAUCAUUCCCUGGUGACCUGUCACUUCUUCAUUUGUAGCUCCUUCUCGACAUGUUCAGAAGACAUCAGGCCCCUGCUGAUACCAGACCUGGUUUCAUGGGGUCAGGGGAGAAUUCUUCACCCAGGUGUCCACACCCUCCACCUGACUGCAUGGACGAUCCAUCCCUAGGGCAUGAUCUGUCAUUUCUUCACAACUGUCUAGAUUCCAUCUUGGAAGCAGCCCUGAAGCUGGUGGCCAGGAAGUCUUACAAGGCAAAACUUUCAAUGUCUUUGCAAGAACGUAAGAUUUUGCCCCAAGAGCUGUAUAUAAAGCAGAUCCUCUUAUACAUGGCAAUACUGCUUCAGUGAGGCUUGCACGGAUCAUCCAUCUAGCAGCCAUCUCCUCCUCCUAUGACAUGACCCAGGGCUCCUCGAUCUUCUCUCACCCAGUGAGUUGGCAUGUCCUGACAUGAAUAAAGAAUAUACUCCCACCUAUGAAUCCACUAAUACCAUCUUAGAGAUUGUCCAUAUUUCUCCAAGCCCUGUUGAAGAGACCAUUUGAGUCUCUCACAGUUGUUGAGCUCCAUCUGCUGUCAUGGAAGAUGAUGUACCUGGCAGCAAUUUCUUUGGCUUGCCAUUCCAGUGAAUUCUGUGCCCUACAGAUAAGACCCUUCACACCUUGUCUUCCACAAAGACAAGAUGGUGCUGUUUCCAUAUCCCUCUUUCCUACCAAAGAUAUCCCCUUUUCAUGUAAACCAAGACAUUGUUUUACUGGUCUUUGUUCCAUCCCUGUCCAAUCUGAUGGAGUCAACACUUCAUUCCCUGAAUUUGCAAGGGGCACUGGUGUUCUGCCACUCCAGAACUGAGUCUUACAAUGGCCCAAACUUUUUAUUUGUUAUGGAGGCAGAGCAAAGGGUCAGCCCCUCUUGCCACAAAGACUUUCAGGUUGGGUAAUAUGAGCAUUCUAUUUGGCCUAUGAAUUUUUAGGACUGCAAUUCCUGGAGCAAUCUAAAGCACACAAAUCGAGCAAUGGUGGCUUGGACAGUAUUGCAUGUAGGCAUCCUGCAACCAGAUUUCUAUAAAGCAGUGACCUGGUUGACUCCAUCCACAUUCACCAAUCAUUAUGGCCUCAGUGUUUGUGGUAGGUUGACUGUGCAUUUGGGAAUGCAGUUCUUUCAGCAAUCCUCCAGUGAUGAUACUGACCCACCAACCACGUAUGAUUAAGCUUGCCAGUUGCCCAUUUGUGUGAUACACAGGGACCAGAAAGAAGAAAGGCAAGUUGCAUACCUGUAACAGUAAUUCUUUGAGUGGUCAUCUGUGCAUUCACACCCACCUACCCCACUGGGUAUCGUGAGUGACUUAGCUAUUUGUGCUGGGUUUGUCCUUUUUUGUGAAUGUUUCCCUUCUAUGAUACCACUUGCAAAUGUGGGUAUAGUACUGCUUCACUAAAUGUGAUGUCAGUAUCCUCAGCUGGUCCCAAGGCCACUGGGUAGUCUCAUUGGAACGAAGGGAAAUUGUGGGAGCCUCUCCUUUUUAUAUGGACACUGGGGUGAGGUUCCCACCAAAGCACACUUAGCAACUGAAUCUUCCUGGGAAAAGGCUCCACACAGGCACAGAACCCAUCUGCGUGAAUGCACAAAUGACCACUCGAAGAACAACAGUUACAGGUAAGCAAGCUGCCUUCUCCCAUUACUAUUGUACAUGUUUGCCCAUUGGGACUGUACUUUUCCUCAUGCCAUGUCUGGUUUUUGUUUGUCAGUUGGAGUCGUUUUUGUUUCUUGUUUUCAGAGUAUGCUGAGUUGCUUUAAAAUUCUGGCUUAGUGCAAUGUGGGUUACAUUUUGUGAACUGAACAUUUAAAAAUCUAGAACUGUACCCUUUAGUUAGCACAUAUCCUUCAUUACGUAUAGGGUUGGCAGAAUAAAAACUAAGCAAUUCUGUCUUAAAACAGAAGGUGUUGAUAUAUUUUCUAACUUUUUGCAGACUGCAAUCCUAAACACACUUAACUGAGAGCAAGUCUUACUAAAUUUCAUGGGAUUUCAGAAUUAACCAUGUGCCACCGGUUUUUGCCAUAAUUGCUAUGCUGGAAUAUAUAUUUAGUAUAUAGAUGUACGCACCUUCUAAGAUCUGCUCCAAUUUUAUGAACUACAUGUUUAUGCUACAAUUUUAUGAACACAUGUAUGUCCCAUAUUAUUGAGCUUUUAAAAAAGACAAGCUUUAAUGCUCAAAAUAAAAUGGAGGGGGAGAAAUAGCAAGCUGCUGUGUCUCAGUUUGUUCAUUCCUUAGUGCCUUUCUUCCACCUCUUUUAUUAUUAUAUUUAUUACAUUUUUAUACUGACCAAUAGCUGAAGCUGUCUAGGUGGUUCACCACAUCUUCUGACCAAUCAUAUAUUCUCAUCUGGAUGGAUCUGAAAUUGGAGGCUGCUGCUGAUUCACUCUGCUGUGUAAGUUCCCGAGGCGGAAUAGAUGGCAGAAAUCUUUUUAGUGCUGGAAAAUUAAGAUGAUGAACACAAUGAUUUUUCUGGCCAUGACCUCUGAAAAGGACCAACACAUUCCCAAGAAUGAUAAAUGCAGAAUGAGCCUAUUUUUCAUCUUUGUUUCAUGAAGUGACAUUAGGCCAGUCCUGUUCAGGAUGAAAUGGCAAGCAUGAAAUUGCCCAGCAAGGGAAGGGAAAUCAGGAAAGAGGCUCUGGUUGAGGGAACACUGAAUUAUUUUCUGAUCUUCAAUCUUUGCUGUGGAAGUUUAUUUGAAACUGAGUAGUAUUUAUUUGAAUCUAGAUGUGUUGAAAAAGCAGUUGUGUGGGGUUUAUAAAGUCCUCUCAGAUUAGGAGCUUUGCCUCAUGAGAGGUACUGGUUUCGGUUACAAAUUACUUACCAGUGACCUGUUAAAGAAAAAAGCUGUGACCCUUUUUUUAAAGAGUUCAAGUAGCUUCUUCCUGAGCAAAAGCAGAAAACUAACUUGUACAUUGUGUUGCAGGUCAAGGCUUCCAUUCUAAUUCACUUUGGUUCCAAUUUGCUUCUAUUCCUUCUGGAGGCUUUCUAUUCUGGAUGUUACCUAUUAUUAUUCUAGAUUGCUCUAGUCUUUUGAAAUAAGUUGUUAAAAGUAGUAUGCCUUGGAAACACUAAUAGAAUGCUUUAAAAGUUUCUGUGAAUAAAUAAUGCCAGGAAUACACACAUGCAUUUUCAGUAUUUGGAACAAAGAGAACUUGAGUAAUGUGGGAACUGACAGAUUUGUCCAUACACGGUUCAGUUUGAGUGAUUUGCCUUUUAAAAGAGUGGGUAUGAAUCCCUGUGUUUUAGAUCAAGUUAGUACUGAAUUAGAAUUUUUUUGACAAGCUUUUCAACUAAGUAGUAGGUAGGUAUAUCAUGUUCCCCUGCAUGCUACAAAUAACCAUACCUAUUGAAUUUGGCUGCAAUGGAUGGGUCAGGUUUUCAUCUUCUAGUGAGAACAUUUUCCAACAAUUCACAAUUAUAAACUUUCUGAUCAAAAAUUAAUCUUGCAUGCUCUCAUAUGCAGGAGGAAAAUAUAUUUUUUAGAAAAUAAUGCAAGAGAAAGCAAAACCAACAGAUACAGACAACCCUACAACCAGAAGAAUGUGCAUAAGAUUGCAUCCUGAAAUUUAUUUGCAAAACAGUCCUUUAGCACCUGGAGGGGAGAAUCUAUGGUGGGCAAAACCACCUUUACCUAGGUCUUGCUGGGCUUGGGUCAGCAUCACAUCAGGACACGGGUGUAUGGAAGCAGCUUUAUACUAUUUUUCCAUGUUUGUGACUUGGGCUGUCUCCUUCUCUCCUCCACACAAACAUACCAGUUCCCAUGGGAUAUAGCCAUUCAGUAUUGGAAGGGUUACAUAUCUGAAUUUGUGUUAACCUGCCCAAGAAAACACAGGAAACUCUUGAAUGAGUCAAGACUUGAAUCAGAGUGGCUGAAUCAUGGCCUAAUUAUAUACGGCCCAUGGUAUUUCUAGGAGACAUGUGAACUGACCACAAGAUUCAGGAAAUGACUAAUUUAGUCUGUGUCCAGCUUGAAACAUAAGCUGGCAAGCAUGGCUUUGGAGGUCCCCAGUCUAUUGAUGCCAAGGCAUUUAGUGGCUAACCUUAGUCCCCAAGGUUGGUGUAUCUUAGGAUCUCUUGGUUGCCAUGACAUUUGUGGUCCUGUUUCAGUAUCUGGCCCCAAAACUAAGCUGAUCACAGUUUGGAUUUGCUGUUUGCUGCUAAGCAGAUGGAUGAUGAUUUGGUGAUAUAAAAGACUGAAAGCGCCUGGAUAGAUCAUCCUCUGAUAGGAGUUAGAUUCACUGGGAUUGUUAACCUCUGAAGGAAUGGAAGAGCUAUAAAAUGGUUUUCUCAAAGGCUUACGUAUCCGGAUGGAUUCUUGAUGAAUCUAGAUUUUUAAAAAAUGGCUUUUUGUCCUUGGUUGAUCUGCAGAAUGAGGAAAGGAUUCAUGCCAAUAAUGCAACCGCUCCUGAGUACCCUGCAUUCAGCUGCGGAGCUAAGCAGCAGAGCAGAGUGGAGGUGCCCCUCAGCGCUCCCCCUAGGUAUCCAUUGCUUCCCUGCUGUGUCAUCGCUUGGCAGCAGUGAGCAAUGCUUGGCAGGGAGACUGGGAGAGGAGCACCAAGAAGCAGAGAGCAGCUGGAACACCUGGUUUUGCAGGGUAGAGCCUCCUUUGCUGGGGCCUUUGUCUGCCAAUGGCAUCCAAGGACAGCAGCCUUGGGCAGCAGCUGAAGGAUGCUGGCCAAAGGGUAUAGCCCAUUUGGGACUGGUUUGGAGAUGGGUUCUUUUGAGGGGUUUCUUAGGGUUCGGCUGAGUCGAGGAUUAGGCUUUGGUUUGGAGCGGAGUUGAAAUUACAUCUCUCAGUUUCGUCCUGGAGCUGGGUUGGGAUUAGUCCUCUUAGUACUGAGGGAAAACUGGUUUGGGGCUUGAGUCAUUUGGGGCCAGUUAGGGUUUGGUCUUUCGUUUUGUAAGGUGCGAGGGUAUUCCAUAGGUACCUUUUAUACAACAGCACUUGUUUUAUUAUUUUAAUUGUACUUUUUAUUAUGUUUCUGGGGGAUCCUAGGAGGAAAUGGGGCACUCCUAUUAGUGUGGUAAUGGGCAGGAGAAGGUAUGGCAUUGGGAAUUACCAUGCCUGCGAAGAAGAGGGGCCUGAUGUCUUACUGCCAAUUCCUUCUUCUGAUUCUUCCCUCAACUAGAUUAUGUUUGGCAGUUGUACCAACCUACUAUCAGGCUUGGUGGUACUGCUGUUAAAUGCCACAUCAGUCCAGAAUAAAGUAUCCCUCAUCCAUGAUUUAAUUGUGGAUGAGUGAGCUGACCUGACUUGUAUUAGGGAGACCUGAAUGAGGGAAGUGAAAGGCAUCACACUUAUACAACUGUGUCCACCCGGGUAUUCAGUGCAGCACCUUCCUUAGGGGUUGGGGAGGGGAAGUGGCCAUAAUCUAUAAGGAUACAGGUAGUCUAUAAAACUUCCUAUCCAUUCAAAGACAAGUCUGAAGUGUUCGUACCUUGUGCUGGGUGACUGAGACAGAUUAGGGAUUCUGUUGAUAUACUACUGCCCACCUUUCUGCUGAAUGGACUCCCUACCCAAGCCGACAGAGGUAGUCUCAAACCUGAUGUUGGGGUCCCCCAAGAAUGGUGGUUCUGGGAGAUCAUAACUUUCAUGCUGAGACUGUUCUGUCUGGGGCAGCUGAGAACUUUAUGAUUGCCAUGGCAACCAUGGGGCUGUCUCAACAUGUCACUGGCCCAAAAUAUGAAAAAGGUCACACUCUUGACCUGGUUAUUUUGACUGGACAGGAAGAUGGUGACCUGGAAGUGAGAGGAUUGAUGUCAACAUCUUCAUCAUGGUCAGAUAAUUUGCUUUUGAGGUUCAGACUCUUGACCCCUUCUCCCUUGGUAAGGUUGGGGGACUUGUUGCCUGGCCCCAGAGUCUGAUGGAUCUAGAUGAAUUCCAGAGGGCCCUGGGGAAAUCUCCAGUUGAUAGGGCUGGUGCUUUUGUUGAAUGCAGGUCUGUGGAAUGCAGAAAUGACCUGGGUGGUAGACACAAAUGCUCAUAAAUGCCCUCUCCAGUUGGGCAAGCUCAUGCAUCACUUUGGUAUACAUGUGAACUGCAGGAAGAUUGGGAGACAGCUAGAACACAGCUAGAAUUAGAACAUCAUGAGGUAUAGGAAAACUCUGACCAAACACAUGUAAAGACUCAUUAUCAAGCCUACUCUGUAGCACUGAAAGCAGCAAAGAGGAAUUUCUUCUCUGCCAACAUCAUGUCCUGCAAGUGCUGUUUGGUGGAGCUCUUCCAAGUGGUUCAGGGCUUCCUGCAAUCUAGACCCACGAUAGACCAUGUUGAACCCUUGGUAGCCUGAAGUGAUGAAUUUGCACAGCACUCUGAAGGGAAAGUUACUCAGAUUCACUACAAAUUGGAUUCCACAGUUGGUACUGGUCCUGUACCAGUACUGGAGCUGUCAUCUAAUCUAUCUUUAUUGGGUGAAUUUCAAUUUUUGCAGCCUGAGGACGUGGACAAAGUUCUUGGACAAGUUUGACUUACCACCUGUAUACUCUUCAUGGCUGAUCAUCAAAGCCAAUGAAGGGAUGCAUACCCAGAUCCAGGAGGUUGUGAACGUCUCUCUAAAAACGGGGCUGAUCCCUGCCCCUUGAAGGAGACAGUGAUCAUGUCUUUCCUAAAGAAGGUGACCUGGACUCAGAUGAUGUCACCAGCUAUAGACCAGUGGUCAACAUCCCUUUCCUGGACAAGGUGCUAAGUGGGUGGUGGCUGGACAACUCCAGGCACUCUUGGAGGAAACUGAUCUGGAUCCAUUUCAUUCUGGCUUCAGGCCUAGUUUAAGAAUGGGAACUGCCUUGGCCAUCCUAUGGGAUGACCUUUGCCAGGAGAGUGACGGCAAAUGCAUCCGUGUUAGUUCUCCUGGACCUUUCAGUGGCUUUCAAUACCAUCAACCACAGUAUCCUUCCAAAUAGGCUUCCCAAGUUGGGAGUAAGAGUUACUGCUUUGCAGUCAUUCUGCCCCCUACUUGGCUAGCUGAUUCCAGAAGGUGGUGCUGGGGGAUUAUACCUCUGUGUCAUGGCAAUUAUGCCAUAGGGUACCACGGGAUUCCAUUUUAUACCCCAUGCUGUUUAACAUCUACAUGAAACCACUGGGAGAGGUUAUUCUGAGCUUUGGGCUCAGCUCUACUUCUUUUUUUUAUCUAAUCCAGGUGAGGCAGUGACAGUUCUGAACCGGUGUCUGGUAGAUUGAUGGACUGGAUGAAGGUCAAUACAUUUAAAUUCAAUCCAAGUUGGAAGUGCUACUGGUAGUUGGGUCAUCUGUCUUGCUACUCUGUGGUGCUCCUGAAGAAGAAACCUUACUUCUCUGUUGCCAUUACAUCCAUUUUGACUCAGCUAGGUUACUCCUCUCAAGGCAGCUACUAGGAAGAGGACACCAGGCUUGCGAGAUCAAGAUCCCUCUGAGCUGAGCACUCCUAUGUGCCUACCUUCUCUGGUGCUUAAUUUGAAGAUCUGCCAUAUUAAAUAUUCCAUCUUGCGUCAAAGUGAAGAAAGUGAAAAUAAUCUAGCCCUGAGUCAGUCCUGAACCCUGAAUUCAAAGGCAUGAGACUUUUAAAAAGGCAGAUAUUUUUAAAUUUGAUUUUAAUCUUGAAGAUCAGUCAUUUUCAUAUUUGUUUUCACUGGGUAUUGCUUUUUCAUAUUUUAUUUUCUAAUAAACAUUUCUGUUUCUCUCAUGAAGUCAAGUCAAACCUAUCCUGUGUUCUCUAGGUAGUUAAGAUAACAACCCCUCUCCAGGGCAGGACACCACAUUAUUAUUGGUAGUGUGGUGGAGGUGGUGGGAUGUCCUUAUACUGAUGGCUCCUGCUGUAAUACAAAGUAUGAACUUAAUGCGGUUCUGUACCUACUGUACAACUUAAAAUUCUUGCGUGCCUAAAUCUGGGAAAUCUCCUAAGAUAGAGUUCCCAGAUAUAGGGCUAUAUGACUGCUUAAAUCUAGUUUAAAUGGGACAAUAGGUUAUAUGUGUUUUAAUUUUAAGACAUUAGAAUUCAACGUCUGAGAAUAACAUACAAUUUCAAUGUGAUAUAGAAUUUUGAUAGCCAUGUUAGUUUGGAAUUUCUUUAUUACAGUACCUUCAAGUCUAUUCAGAUUGGACAGAAUUAUUUUUAAAUCUGAAAAAUAAAGAAAUAUUAAAUUACAAAUACUAAAUCUGAAAAACAGUGUUAUCUGUAGGUUACCUAAAAAUGGUGGAUGCAAGACAUCCAUUUACUUCAAUGUCAUGUUCAAAGCUGCCUCUGGACAAAGCUGGCCUAUUUUAUGAAUUACAUUUUUAUCCCUUCCUUGAGGACUUCAGAGUGACACCCCAGUCCUUUCUCCCUUACUAAUUUUCACAGGCAUUCUUUGAUGUAGGUCAGGCUAAGAGAAAGUGAGUGACUCAAGAUAAGCUUUGUACCUGAGUGAGGAUUUGAACUGUGAUUGGGGUAUCUAAAUCCAACUUUCUUGUGAAUAAACUAUUUUUUAGCAAUGUGUCUUGUUCCAUUUUGAGACUUCGGGAAUUUAAAGUAGCUGAUGUAUAAGCAGAUGAUCUGGUAAACUUUAGAGCCAAAGCUGAACUGAAACCCAAGAAUGUGUUACUGCAUUUGCUAACAUUCAUCUUGCCCCUUUCCUUGUUUCUCACUCACCCUGUUCUAAAUUUAGGUUGUUGUUUCAGGUAGAGAGGGCCUUUGCUUUGCUUACACUGAACUGUUAAAUGAAAUUUUUCUGACAGUACCACAUAAUUAAGAAAAAUUCAUAAUGGUUAUUAUUCCUUCUUGUUUCAUAGGAUGGCUACAAUUUACUGCUAUACCUUAUGGAUAUUGAAAGGAAAUCCAUCAAUAAUCUCUCUGAAAAUGAAUAAAGGAGAAGAGAUAUUGCAUAUUCCAUGUCAGUUUUGAACUACUGGCUUCAUGUGGCUUAAUUACAGAUAUUUCGCCAAUAUAAGUUGGAAACUGUAAGUAUAAAACUAAAGACCACACUUGCAGAAUACAAAGGUAAGUGGCAUUCACAAAGCACUAGACAGUAUGUCUGCAGUUAAGUUGGAGUAUGCAGCCUAAAUAUAUUUAAUUUGGGGCAUUAAAAUGUCAGGUGGAGAAAUGUAACAAUUCAGUGGAAUGUGAGAAAUGGAAUAUGCUUCCCCUGCUCAGGGAAAAAAAUCAAGAGGAAGUGGUAAAAGAAUUUAGUAAUCAUCAUUUUUUAUCUUGCUUUUUCCCAGAACUAGGUGACAUCAAAGGUGGUGCUAGGCAUUGAAAAGAUCUGGGGCAAAUGCAAACCCCAAAGAAGGCUCCUCAUUUUAUUUCAGAUACUUUAUUAGGUAUUUCUGGGAUUCUGUAAUACUUUUUUUUAACUGUUCUGGGGUAAAAUUCUGUAAAUCCGAAAAUUUACAUCAAAUAUUGCAAUAUUACAUUUCUAGUAACCUCAUAUUGCAAUUCUCAAAGCACAAAAUUGUGUAGGUCAAUACCUUUCUUAGGUACAGCCAAACUUCCUAAUAGAGGGUAUUGCCCAACUGUUCAUUUUUCAUCUUUCAUGGACCAGCAUGAUUCCUUUUGCUUUUGGUUGCUCUUACAUGUUACCAAAGUUAUCAAUCCUCAGGUUUCCCUACAACCCGAUAGCUAAACUUCCUUUGUGGUACAUAAGGCAAGUUGCAGCUUUGUACGCAUUUAUGAAGGAGCAACAUCCCAGUCCUUUGUCCACUUACCGGGAAGUAGAUCCCAUUGAUCUGGGUAAGAAUUACUUCUGAGUAAAUGUAUUAGGAUUGCACAAUAUUUUCCUACUUCACAUAGAUUUUCACACUAUCAAGCUGCCUUCUCCCAUUCCACAGGCCUGUGUAGCCAUGUCCAAGCUAUGAGAGAGCCAGUGUGGUUAAGAGCAGGACUGGGACUCAGGAAAUCUGGGUUCUAGUCCCCACCUAGCCAUGGAACCAACUGGGUAGACUUUGGGCCAGUCACAGACUCUCAGCCCAAGCUACCUCACAGGGUUGUUCUUGUGGGGAUAAGAUUAAGAACAGUAGAAGAAUUAUAAAACCCACUCUGAGCUCAUUGGAAAAAAGUGGGAUAUAAAUCUACUAAAUAAAUAAAGUCUAAGGCUGGCCCCAAGAUAUUUCGUUCCUGAGGUAAAGCAACAAACACUACCUUACUCCCACAAGUCCAACCAAGGUGGGUAGAAUUACUAAAAGCCAAUCAACGUUUUGGUCUCUGAAGCCAAAACAUUCCCACAAGCAAGUCUCCCCUUCCCUGGCACUGAAACUAAAAUAAUAAUUAAUAAAUUGUCAGCUGUCUGAGGCAUCUCAGGUUCUAAGGCGGGGAGUGUGCGCGUAUAUGUGUAAAGGACCCUACCACCUCAGGACAUUCCUGAAUUUAAUGAGAUGAGCGUUUUAUUUCAGGAAAAAACCUCAGGCUAAGAUUCAAGGGAGACAUUAGAGGUAACACAUAUAGGCAAAAAGCCAGCUAAUCUAGGGGAACCAGGUGCAGUUAUCAGGGUCCCUGAAAAGGUUAUCAGGGACCUAUACCUUUAUUUCAGCAAGUGCAGUUUUCUCUAGUUACCUGAAAGGCAGAAUCAUUCAAAAUAACACAGUGGAUAUAUGCCCAUGAAAACUUGUUAUGCCACCCAGUAAAUGUGUAAGUCUUUAAGGUGCCACAAGGCAUUGUGAAUUUUGAAAACAGAAAAGCAAGAACCCCUGUUCCAGAUCCGUUCACCUUUCUCUAGUACAAAGGAGAAUGCAAAGGAGAACUAUGCAACUACCAGAAUCUGGCCAUGUGAACCAUGAAAAAAGCAUGUGCCAAGGAGCUGUAGGACAGACUCAAACAAGCCUAGUAAAGCAUGCAUUCAUGUAUUAACUUACCCCAGACUCAGACAAUGCUGCCUAUUCAAACCCCCUUUGCAAGCAAAACUACUUCUUACCCAGGGUAAUGGGUUUGGCACAACUUGGAGAAAGAAACAGACAAGGAAGGCCUCUGGUACUCUGUUUGAUAUAGGAACAGCCAAUAUGCCUGCUCUUCCUCUUGUUAGGGUCUUGGUGCCUGCAGUGGCCUAGGACAUAAGUACAGUUAUUCAAUGGCAAUUUUUUCCUCAGGUCUCUGCUGAGUCAAGCUCACUCAAAGAAAGCUAGAUGACAGAGUGCUGUAAGGCACUUUUGGCCUCUGGACUUAAUAAAAAUAAUCAGUAGAUGGGCCUAGGAAAGCUGACAGUCUCCCCUUUAGUUUAAAAUACUUCUGGCUUCAUGCUACACUUAGUCAGCUAAGGGAAUGAGUCCUAGGGUCUCCGAAUAGCUGUAAGGCUACCAAUUCAGAAGGAAGGAUUGUAUAAACACAAUGAUGACAGUUACAGCUGCUCUAAAGAUCUAGAGAACUGCUCAGAUUAGAGGUCCAUACCCCAAUGGGCCCUUUUCUAACACUGCGUGUGUGUGUUGUACAAAUAUUAUGAGAUAAUGAAUGUAUAAAAACCAUCAAAGAACUGAUGUUCUAAACUAACAAGAAUAUCUUGAAUUGAGAUGCAUUGUAAAAAAAAUUAUACAAUCAAGUGCAUCAUAAAAUAAGCUAACAUGAUGCUGCUGAAAUCACUUUCAGACCACCAAACUGUAGCCUGAUCUUCAUAAUUAUGCACUGAUUGACUGAGGUUAGCUACUUCAUUGAUCUACCUGCCAUUGAGCUGCUCAAAAAAAUCUGUGUGAACAUGCCAGGAAAAAAUAAUCUAAUCCUGUCUGUGCACAAAAGGCAAUGAAGAAAGGCUAUUGCCUGAUUUGUACUUAGAAAGCAUAAAGGACAGGGGCUAGAUGAUGUGUCUAUGGCAACAGCCAGGGUAGCUCAGACAGUGAAGGCUUUCAAGAAACAUGCCCCUUCUUUGGACAAGCCAGUCAUAACUACUCCAGGUACCUAGUGAAUACUCACUGAAUCCUACAGAGCUUUGGGAAAGUGUUACAUAAGAUAUAACAUGCUGGCUCUACAUGUGAUAGUGGUGUUCCUCUAAUGGUCACUGCUCUUCACUGAGUGUGCUGCUUUUCAGACCUGACAGAGGUGUGUAUUUCUCUGGUAACCUAAAUGUAAUUACCUGGCCAAAAAUUGUUUUAUGGCAAAGCUAGGUGAACUCAUACACAGAGUAGCAGGGGGAAUGCUCUGUCCUACCACUGACCUGUCCAUGGGAUGUUGGCAGGAGUUCCAGGAUGGUUUUUUUUCUUAGCUUCAUCUGUGGUGGUAUUCUUCAACAUAUGAAUGCACUCUUAACCAAGUCAAGGAUACUAGAAUGAAGUAAUAGGUUUCUUGGAGCCAACUUUCCUGAGAGGAAUGGCAGUUUGAUUUUAGAUCUCGAGUCCAGAUAAAUAGUUAUUCAUGUUGAAUCACAUUCUAGGAGUAAUUACAUUUGGUGGCGUCUGUGUCCAUUUAGGACAUGUAGUAGCAUCAGAAAGGGUUUUUGUAAGAUACUAUGAUCAAUUCAUAUAUGUUCUUAUGCUAACUAAUGAGGGAGGGCAAACUGAAAUAUGAACUGAAAAUUGUGGCAAAAAAACCAAAAGCAGGAGAUUGCCAGCACAACUUAAUGGCCAGAUCAGGUAAUUUUGAGCUUUAAAAUCUGGGGAGAAAAAGAUGAGGAGAAUUUCAUAAGCCUCCAUACAAACUGAUAGGCAUUUACCUAUUUUCCAAACAGCCUACCUGAUAAAACAUGUCACGAAAGGGAAAAGGAAUUAAAAUAUUUAGUCUCAGACUGGAGGAGUCAGGCAAGGUAAGCAAGAAUAAAAAAGUUAUUAUUCAGUAAUAACUGCUUUUGUUUUAAAUACUCUCCUAAAUACAGAAAAAGAAGAAGCCAGCUGGAUUGAUGGGAGGCAUUUGCAACAGUAAGAUAAAAAGAACCAAGCUGAGAAAUAGUGCAUGAGAAAUUAAGUUUGAGAAGAAAACUAGCAUCUGGAGGAUAAAGAGACUGAUAAGGCAUAUACAGAGAUGACAGAUACCAACAUCCAUGAAGACAAUUAAAAACAAAUAAUCUUCUGUAUUUAUUUUUUAUCCUGUCCCAUUAGCCAUAAGGCUUCCUUACCUUAAACUAAAUCCAGUUAAGAAGGGAAUCAGUGCAAAAUGGAAAAAGUCAAAAUGAGAGAAAGGAAAUAAUUAAGCAAGAAAAGUAAUCAAGAAAACAAAGAAUGUAACAACAAUAAAUUAUAAUAGUAAUAAUGAUCCUGAAUAUGUGUAUUAGCAGAAUGAAGGAUUUAGAAUGGUCAAAUCUUGGAAAACAGUGGCAAAAGUAUUUUACCUGAUGUACAGAAGAGAGGCCUCUAGUUCACGCUUACAAUAGCAGAGGCAAUAGAAGAAAUAUAUGGACAGGUUGCCAAAUAGAAAAAAAUAGACAUGAAGUUCAGUUUCAUUUCUGUCAGGCUACAAUCCUAUAUGCAUUUUGUGUUAAGCUCUGUGGAACCUACGUAUUUUUAAUAGAUUUCUGCAGAAUUGCAUUGUUAGGCCUAGUUUCAGUAGAUAAUAAGGACUGGUGACAAAGCAGUAAGGUUAUGUAAAGUUUACAUAUUAAGAGAGGCAAGGUUUUGGUGUGUGUUUUUAUUAAAUGGCUUUCUGUUCCAUCGUCAUGCUUAUAUAAUGUUCUGAAUUAUCUUCAGUUUCAGCACUUUCAUACUACAUAGUGCAAACCAAAUCAAGUCUCUGUGUCUUCUUCUGGAAGCUGGUUUCACAUGGUGGCUUAGAUUUUUCCAUCUUUGUAUCUAGCACCAUUUGAAAUCAGUGUUCUAGGAGCAAGAAUUACAGCACUGGAUACAGAGAAGAACUGGAAGCAACAGUACAGUUGUGAUCUACAUGGUAACAGUCAUUUGAUGUUUCUCAGAGUAUUAAAUGCAAGUGAUGUUUGAAAUAGUACCUUAAGUACAAGAAAAAUAUUUUAUGACCAAGAAUAGACACCAUAACUGCCCUCCAUGCUGUCCCUUCCCAACUCCAGGACUAAUAGAUGUGAUUCCUGUUUUCUGCAAAGAGAUUCAGACACAGAUCCAGAAAGAGGAUCAGUGAGAAGAACCACAUGUACAUUACUUGUUACACUCUAUUCUUCAUCCAUUUUCAUCCACAUGUGCAUAAGCCUACUUCUAUUGUGUAUGGGUGUGUGUUGGUUUGGUAAGAUUAAAAAUAACGCAGAUGUGAGAUUAGAACAUUCUUAUUGUAACACUUGAAUAAGUGGUGUUGGACAAAUAAAAAUGUAGUUACUAUGAGAGGGCAUCCCCAUGCUUACUAUUCAAUGACUAUUACAGCCUUUGUCAAUCAAAGUUUCUAAAAUGGCUUGAAAGGUUUGAGCAUAUGGUCCCUGGGAGGGUGUGUCAGAGUAGAGAAAACAAAAAGUGAGAUCUGACUUUGAAGGGCUGAGAUCUGACCUUGGAACAUCCCCCAUAGUCCCUGAAGAAGCCUUCUGCUGUCAGUGCUCCAACACUGGAGGAGAAAAGCUGGUAGAGUAGGAGGUGUCUUUGUCCAUGUCAGGAGGGGCUUUAGAUCUACAGUAUUCAAAGCAGUUCCAGAACUGGGGAAGGAGAAGUCCUAAAUCAUUCUCCUCCUUCUUGUUUGCUGCCAGAGUUAUGCCAACGGUUCUUUGAAAACUAUACACUUUGACAGUGGAGCUUUCUGCACAAAUAAGAUUGUUCUGCUCAGCUGCAAUCCCAACCACACUUAGUUAGCAAAUGGUACUAAAAGUGGAACAUACAUAUGAGUAAAUAUGUGUAGAUUUGUGAACCUAUAUUUUAAAUCAGUUAUCUCACUAUUUUUCAGGCAGGAGCCAUUUAAGCUACAGACAUUACUGCUAAGGCUGGGGUGCAGGAGGACUCUUGCCUUCCCUCUUCCAGUCAGGUGAUGAUGCAGUGAACCUUAUCAGACAGUCUUUAGACAGGCAAAUUCUGAUAGACCUAUUUGGUCUUUUGGGCUGAGAUGGCCCUUUUGUUUGCGAUUGGAUGAGACUGCCAUUCAGUGGCAAUCGUGCUGCAACAUUUCCUAGCAUGGAUUCACAUUGUGCUCUGUUGACUUACCACAUAGUCAAUUUCCUCUUCACCCCCAACACCUGUGGGAUGCACCACUAUUGAGAGCUAAAUAUGUUGCUGGAUUUCACAAAAAAGCCACAGAUGUUUUGUUAAAACGUGGAAGUUGGGCAGUUUUGGAGAAUGCAUCUGUGUGUUUGCAUUGAAUGAGCACAUGCUCAAAUACUUAUGUGGAAAAUGCAGGUUUCACUUGUGGCUUCUGUUGUGGUUGUUAUAGGUAUAUUUAAAAUAAGUGUUAGGCCUAUAAUGCACUGUUCAGGUUUCUUCCACAUGCCUUCAAGGUAAAAUGGAACAGAAUGUAUUGCUUAGUGUGGCCACUGACCAGAGUUUUACGGCACUGAAACUGAAUGAUCUGCAGGUGCUCCUAAGAGCCAGUGUGAAACUGACAAAACAUCUCUUACACAGGCUGACCGAUUUCUCUUGGUGUUCAGAGUCUCAGUUUUUGUCUAGCACCAUUUGAAAUCGGUUAUGAUGUAGGGGGAAAAGCAACUACAAUGGAAAUGCCGUUUAUUGUUUAAAGAUCUUCUCUGCUGAAACAUAUUCCAUAUGAUGCAUCUGAUACAGCAAUAUGAAUAUUGCUUUGGAGGUCUCUUGUGGGGGUAAAUUUUUCCGUUAUGCACCAUAUUGUAACAACAAUCUGUAAGUUCUAUUGCAGUGUAAAGUUCAUUGUAUAAAAUCUUCUAGAUAUGCUUGGAGAUGUUACUCUUUAUUUUGUAAAAUGAACUGUAGGUUUUUCUGUAGGUUUUGAAGUACUCUGCUAAUGCAGCCCUCAAAAGAUCUGCACAAAAAUGCUAACAUGAAAACAUGACUGGCACAAAAGGUGUAUUUAAGUCAGCGGUAUUGGUAGCAAUAUAUCCCAGGGCAGAAAUUCAGGGCCAAGCAGCCCUGGGCCCAACAGCUCUACAGCUGCAGUCCUUGCAAUGUCUUUUUUCCUUAUUAAAGGAAAAAGAGAGAAAAAACCACCUUUUUUACAGAUGUGAGUCAUGAUACACUUUCGGAUACACCAUUUUCAUAUCCGAAAUGGUCAGUUACAGAAAAAAAGGAUCUGCUGCUGUCUAGUGAAGAGGUGAGAGAGAGUGACUAGAUCAGCUUGGCCCAAUCUGCUGCCCCCCAGAUGUUGAACUAUAGCUUCCAACAUUUAAAUAUUUAUUUCCUCCCCUUCCCACAGGACUUAUUUCCUAUUCACUUCUGUGAUGAAAGGUGGUACUACAUGCAAAAAGAGAUGCAUGUCGGACUUCCCUUUCUAUGUAAGUGAACAGGGAUGCCUUACACUAGUGAUGACUCUACAACUUAGUGGUAUAGUGUGGUCCUCUGAAAAAAAUGAAUAAUAUGAAAUUUAUUUAGGACAUACUUUUCUCCACUAUUUUACAAGUCCAACUGAAAUAAAGAACAUGAUCAUUCUCUUGCAUUGUUAUGAUUAAUUUGAGCAAAGACAGGAAAACUCUCUGGUGUGUUGCAAACUUCAUGUGGACAUGCUAUACUAAAUAAUUAUACCUUUUAAUUCAGUUAAACCAGUGAAAAUCCAUUUCUAUGAAGAGUUUUUCACCUUUUGCUGUACUUUUCAACUUGCUCACCAAGUUUUUAUAAACUAAACAGUGGAAAAAGUUUAAAAUGUUUAAAUAAUGACUCCCCAUUAGCUGUAUGUCAAAAGUAAGGGUUUGGGCUUUUGCUUUUUAAGGAGGCAAACAGUUUACUUCUAUUUUCAAUUGACAAAUAUAAACAUUUUUUGUAAAUGAUGGCCAAUUAAAUUUGGAAAAUAAGUUCAGCUAUGAAAAUUUGAAGGUAACAUGGGGCAAGAUAAUUAAACUUGAUUGCAACUUUUAUAGAUAUCAGGCUGGAUCCAUACUGGCAGUUCCAUGACCAGAAGGCACAAUACAAACAACCAGAAAUAUGGGUUUCCCCUUCACCCCACAGUACUCUAUAUAUUCACCAAAUCUACUUAAGCAGAUUGCAGGAUCUUUCAAGGUAGAUUUUGGGCAGUGAAAGGGGGGAGAGCAAGGGAAGCUGCUACUGUGUGAGUAGAUCCUUAAGUAGACAUCCACUUGUGUGAUAUCGGAUAUAACCCCAAGUUUAUUAAUAGCCCACAGACCUUUAAAUUCUACAAAUAGCUGAUUCUGUACAAUAUGGUAAAAAUGCAAACAAAACUACUAUCUGUACUGUUCAACAUUAAAACUUAACAUAAGGACAAAAUAAGAACCACAGCAUAUCUUUACAAUUCUGAAUGGUUUAUGGAUCUCCAUUGCCACGGCACAGGCAAUUUCUUAGGAAACUUCCUAUAAAGUCUGGCUCAGAAAAUGGACCCCCUCAAAGCCAUACACUUAGGCCUGGCCAGUUCUCCAAUGAAACUGCUGGUCAUUUUCUCCAUCUGAUGAGGCUCUCCAGAGAGGAAAAGCUGGCAACAGAGUGUGCCAGAGUACCACAUGAAGUGAUAGCAAGGGAAGUGCAGUGGAAAAAAACAGCAAUGGGAAAACCCACAGCAUGUGACUCAACCUAUGUUAUUUAAUUCAAAUACUGCUUACUGGAAAAGUCAAUAACGGAUUGUUUCAAUAAACUACAGUUGGAACUAAUCACUUCCUGGUAAGAACACUGUAACAGCAACAACAUUCUUUGGAAUCAUUAAAUAAUCUCUAAUUUGUGGAAAGGAAAGGGCAGCAGUGGUCACAUAUGGCCAAGAAAUUCAAGAACACAGGAUGAAGGUGAACUUUUGUACAAACUUGUGCUUAGUAGUGCUUAUAUUUUAUUGCACUUUAACUGUAUUAUACAUUGGUUAGUAGGCAGAGUAAAUAUAUUUUAAUGAUUGAAAUAGGCAGGGGAGAGUUGCCGAAAUGAUAGUACAGAAAAAUUCACACACACACGAUUACAAAAGACUAAGCCUUACACAUCCUGUGAAAAAGAUUUCUUUGAAACUAUAUAGAUUACCAGUUCUACUCCACUUACUAUGGUUGUGUGAAAGAAAAGCAUGAAAACAGUUAAGAAAUACAAUAAACAUUAUAGAAGGGAUUUUCAAAUUACUACUAGGAGCAUAAGGCAAGUCUGACUCCAGAUUUUGUGGGGCCUUGGGCAGUUUACUUUUGCUGUCACUCCAGCACUAACCAGCUCCCAGCCAUUUGCAGCACCUGCCAGCACUUGAGUUCCCCCAUGGUACUGCUGCAGGCACCAGCCCAGCCUCGGCCACACUCUUAAUGGCCCAGAAACCAAGCACUGGCAAGUACGAGGCUGGGAGGUGGCAAGACACUGAGUCCAGCAAGCAUGUGGACUUGGCAAAUGCAUGAUUAUUCUGACAACAGGCCUGAGUAUGUAUAUGUUUAAUAGAAUGCAAUGAACUCUCAAUGGGUGGAAUGUAAGAGUUCUUCUGUCCACAGAAGUAGAUGAUGAUUUAGUGGGAGCAGUCCAUAACGGAAGAAGAGAAGCUACUGUUGCCAUAGUCCCCCUUUGACCUACAGUCCACUGUACCACCUUCCACACAGCACCGGAAGAUCCUUUAACCCUCUAAACUUGGGAGGAGGCAUGCAAGGAGAGCAGCAAAAGGAAAGAGGGAAAUCGCCCUGGCCAUUCUUCCAGCGGUUUUAUCUGCUGUGAGACCAGAACACUACAAUCAGACUCUAAGCAGUAACAUCAUUUUUAUUUUAAAUUGCAUUUUUAUUCCCACAUAAAAAUCCAGCGAAUUAUUACUGGAAAAAAUCAAAUUACUAAGUAAAACAGUUGUAUAACACUGAUAAACAUUCUCCUGAAGACUCAUUUAAAUCCACUGAGUUUUUGAUUCAAAGAACAAGAAUAUGUUAUUGUUACAUUGUUAAAGAGGCAAAUAAGGUAGAGCUUGUACAGUCUCACCUUUUGGGAAGAUGUUAGCUGCAAAACAGUAUAGCAGAUGGUAAAUGUUUACUAAUAGUAACAGCUUAUUAGUGACGAUAAGCAGCUGUAUUUAUCAUGUACCACCCUGCUUCCAUAGCAUGGUCCUCAAGUAACAGAGCAAUCCUAUCCCUAAGCACCACAUCAGUGGGCAGAUGGUAGUGACAGGGCUGACCUAACCAUCCUCUGCCAUGGUUACUGAGGGACACUUGGAACUGACAAGCUCAGCAUCUCAAUCUUGCAAUCAUGUUGCAAGUCGGGUUGCCUUAUUGGCACAUCCUUUCAGGAAAGCAUGUUGCCAAACCAGUUUCCUCACUGAUCCUUUGUUUCAGGAAACAAUGUUGCCAGUCUGGUUUCCUUACACUGAUGACUGACUGCCCUGAAUAGCUUUCUCCUUUUUCUCUUCUGUGUUUUUCCUAUGCAAUUCAAGUUUCAACUGUUAUGUGCCUCCCACAGCUACCUACAUGAAUGAAACGUUAGAAAAGUGUCCAUGUAAAGUUAAAUUCUUUGUAGUUACUGGCUACCAGCAUGCAUGCAUGCAUCCUGUAUGUCCAAAUAAACUGUCAUUUGUUUUGACUGUA